rnacentral:misc_RNA from 1 species
UGUUUAUGAUCAUUGAUGGUGUAUGGGAACCCAGGACAUGGUUUACAUUAUCUUGGGGUCCUAUAAGUCAUCAACGAUCGUAAAUU